GACGAACGCUGGCGGCGUGCUUAACACAUGCAAGUCGAACGGUGAAGGGGUCUGCUUUUGUGGGCCCUGGAUGAGUGGCGAACGGGUGAGUAACACGUGAGUAACCUGCCCCCUUCUUCUGGAUAACCGCAUGAAAGUGUGGCUAAUACGGGAUAUUCUGGGUCUGUCGCAUGAUGGGUCUGGGAAAGAUUGCGCCUUUGGGUGUUUUUGGUGGGGGAUGGGCUCGCGGCCUAUCAGCUUGUUGGUGGGGUGAUGGCCUACCAAGGCGGUGACGGGUAGCCGGCCUGAGAGGGUGGACGGUCACACUGGGACUGAGACACGGCCCAGACUCCUACGGGAGGCAGCAGUGGGGAAUAUUGCACAAUGGGCGCAAGCCUGAUGCAGCGACGCCGCGUGAGGGAGGGAGGCCUUCGGGGUGUAAACCUCUUUCGCCAGUGAAGCAGGCCUGCUCCUUGUGGGUGGGUUGACGGUAGCUGGAUAAGAAGCGCCGGCUAACUACGUG
rnacentral:rRNA from 1 species